CCUACGGGAGGCAGCAGUGGGGAAUAUUGGGCAAUGGAGGCAACUCUGACCCAGCAACGCCGCUUGAGCGAUGAAGGUCUUCGGAUUGUAAAGCUCUUUAAGAGGGGACGAAGAAAGUGACUGUACCCGCAGAAUAAGCCUCGGCUAACUACGUGACAGCAGCCGCGGUAAUACGUAGGAGGCAAGCGUUAUCCGGAAUGACUGGGCGUAAAGGGUGCGUAGGUGGUUUGGCAAGUUGGUAGCAAAAUCGGGGGCCUCAACCUCGGUGCUAUUACCAAAACUGUUGAAUUUGAGUGCGGGAGGGGUAAAUGGAAGUCCCAGUGUAGGAGUGGAAUGCGUAGAUAUUGGGAAGAACACCGGCGGCGAAGGCGAUUCACUGGACUGUAUCUGACACUGAGGCACGAAAGCGUAGGGAGCAAACAGGAUUAGAUACCCCAGUAGUC
rnacentral:rRNA from 1 species